GAAUAUUGGACAAUGGGGGCAACCCUGAUCCAGUCAUCCCGCGUGUAGGAAGAAGGCCCUAUGGGUUGUAAACUACUUUUAUCAGGAAAGAAAAUGCGUGAUUUUUCAUGCACUGACGGUACCUGAUGAAUAAGCACCGGCUAACUCCGUGCCAGCAGCCGCGGUAAUACGGAGGGUGCAAGCGUUAUCCGGAAUCACUGGGUUUAAAGGGUGCGUAGGCGGAUAGAUAAGUCAGAGGUGAAAUCUCCCAGCUUAACUGGGGAAUUGCCUUUGAUACUGUUUAUCUUGAAUUAUGUUGAGGUUAGCGGAAUGUGACAUGUAGCGGUGAAAUGCAUAGAUAUGUCAUAGAACACCAAUUGCGAAGGCAGCUAGCUAGGCAUAUAUUGACGCUGAGGCACGAAAGCGUGGGUAGCGAACAGG
rnacentral:rRNA from 1 species